UACGAAGGGGGCUAGCGUUGUUCGGAAUUACUGGGCGUAAAGCGCACGUAGGCGGAUUGUUAAGUCAGAGGUGAAAUCCCGGAGCUCAACUUCGGAACUGCCUUUGAUACUGGCAAUCUAGAGUCCGGAAGAGGUUAGUGGAAUUCCCAGUGUAGAGGUGAAAUUCGUAGAUAUUGGGAAGAACACCAGUGGCGAAGGCGGCUAACUGGUCCGGUACUGACGCUGAGGUGCUAAAGCGUGGGGAGCAAACAGG
rnacentral:rRNA from 1 species